AUGAAACCAGCCGCUCUGUUUAGUAGGGCUGACCCAUGGAGGAGGUGGCCUUCCAGGGACUCCAGGACAGCUCGUGCUUGGUCGCAAGCCAGCGACCGUACGGGCCGGGACAUGAGCUGGCUCCCCGCACCGGCUUUCCUGGAGGACAUCCUCUCGCCUCCAACUCAAAGGCCAGGACCCACUUGCCAGAGCCUGGCACCUCAGGCACGGGAGGCGGGAGGCAUCCAGACACUCUCGUUUAGACUCUGAUGCAGUGCCAGGAAUUGAACCCAGGACCUCCCGCGUGGAAGGCAUGUACUUUACUGCUCAGCCACCUGUGUAGCUCCUGUGUGGUGGCGGGAGGCUCAGACCCCGGACUUUCUGCGUGGGAGGCCACAGACGCUUCCGGGUGAUCGGGCUCCCGGCCCCGUGCCCCUGCGCUGAACCUGCGCUCACGCAGCACGGCCAGACAUGCGGUAAUGCCCCACGUGCCCCGGGGGCAGUCCCACUAACUCCCUUUUUUCCUGUCUUGUGAAGCUUUCUAUUCCCCCUGCGGGUCCCCACAGUGGGAAUAGAGUGGGGGGCUCGAACCCAGAUCCUUGCAGGGGUGACUGCACUCUGUACACCAUGUGCGCUAACCCGCCUGGCCUGCCCUGCGCUGCCUCACUGUGUUUUCACAGAUGGUGACCCUGUAGGUGGGGGCCACGGAGCACUCCGACCAGGCCGUGCCAGCCCCGCUCAGUUCCACAGGCUGCCUGGCUACUCCCGCGACAGGGAUGGCCCAGGGACACGGCGGGCUUCCGCCCGUCCUGGCUGACGCCUUCAAGGUGGGCUUUGAAUUCAAGACCCUGGGUUCAAAGAGGCUCGCCUGCCUGCUGGGCCCAGGCCAGGGCCGAUCAGCACAGUGAAUGUCGCAAGUGGAUAGAUGGCCCACUCUGGUCAUGCCAGCCUGUUCUCUCGGCCUCCAGCGUGCUGCAUCUUCAUCCCCGGCAGGCUAACCCUGCCAAAAGCCUGCACCGCAUGCCGCUAUGCUGCGCCCAGCCCAACCAGGCUGAUCCUGCUGAUCCUGGCCGUCUGGUCAAGCCGACAGCAGACCAGGCGCACAGGCUUGCUGCCAACACCCCCA